AUCCUUUUGUGGUUCGUAAGUGUGAUAACUGGGUUUUCACACUUAUAGGUGAGAUGUGCCUCCCUCAAACCUUGUUAGGAGUAGAAGGUAGCCACAUCACCUAUCUGACA
ensembl:snoRNA